rnacentral:misc_RNA from 1 species
CCACCAUGUGCCGCAAGUGCAAUUUCGUCAGUUCGUCAUCAGUUAAGUCAAGAGUUUUGAAACCGCAGGCUUCAAAGUUUGCCGCCAUCUUCGCAGCGUCGGCACGGUUUUCAAUUUGCACACCGACAAAAAUAUGGGCUUCUUUUUCGUCAGCAAUGCGAUAGUUGAACUCAGUAAGAUUGCGUUUGCCCAUACAGUCACAAAACUUGCGGAGACUGCCUGGUUCUUCGGGAAUGGUGACGGCAAAGAUAGCUUCGCGGCGUUCGCCCAACUCUGCCCGUU